AAACCCCCAAAAAAAAAAAAACAGAGAGAGAGAGAAAUUCAGCUUAAGGUUCAAGCGGAGGAGAGCAGAGCCUUGGUUUUCCACUUUCAAUUCUCUCGCUGGGGGGAAGAUGUAUAUUAUUUAGUGAGAAGCUCAAACUCUCUUCCUCUUUUGCUCGGGUUCUUUGAUAACUCUACGGGGUUCGUGGGAAUUUCGAACUCGGUAUCAAGCUUUUGAUGCCAAGUUCCAGUAUGCGAUUCGGGUUCUUGCUUUCUGCGUGGAUCUCUUCCUGUCUCUCUUUUUUUUUUUUUUUUUGUGUUCUGGGGUUUGGAAUUCUUCUUUUGUUGGUUUUGUUUAUAUGAAUCCGAGUAACGGGAAGGGCUCGAUGUCAACGGCCAGUUCAAGCGCAGCUUGGAAAGCCGGUGAUGUCGCUCCUGACCAGUUCCCGGCGGGGCUACGUGUGUUGGUCGUAGAUGAUGAUCCCGCAUGCCUUGUGAUCAUGGAGAAGAUGCUCAGGGCUUGUCUUUAUGAAGAUAUUCUUCUUUAAUUUCUCUCUGUUAAUCAUAAUUCUUGUUCUCUGACUCGCUGUUUGCUUUUGUUUCGCGGGCUCUCUCCGUUUGUUUGGAUGAAGAAGAUUUUUUGGCUAAUUUUAAUCCAGAUAUAUGUUUGCGUGAGUGUGUCUUCUUUUCUUCUUUCAAUCGUUCUGUUAUAAAAGUUCUUUGUGAGUUUUCGGGGCGUGUGUAUGGAAGAGGGAACUUCUGGAGGAAAAAGCAAUGAAAUGGGUUCUUUGUUUCUGGUUAUUUCAUCUUUGAAAUUUUCAACUGUAAAUUGAUCGCUAUAGUUGACUUGGUUAGAGAUUCUGAUUUGGCUGAACAAUUAGCUUAUAUUGUACAAACUUCUCGUGCUUUUGAGUGCUUGUCUUAUCUCUGAGAUCAGUUACCAAAUGCAAUAGAGCGGACUGCGGAGAUCGCAUUGUCGCUGCUUCGAGAGAACAAAAUGGGGUUUGAUAUUGUUGUAAGCGAUAUUCACAUGCCUGACAUGGAUGGAUUCAAACUCCUGGAGCACGUUGGGCUGGAGAUGGACCUGCCUGUAAUCAUGAUGUCAGCAGACGAUGGGAAAAAUGUUGUCAUGAAGGGCGUGAAUCAUGGUGCUUGUGAUUACCUAAUCAAACCAGUGCGGAUCGAAGCAUAGAAGAACAUAUGGCAGCAUGUGGUUCGGAAGAGUAAGAAUGAGUGGAGGGAAUUGGAGCAGUCAGCGAUAAUACGUGCAAAAAUAUAGAGAAGAGAUGAAAAUCAAUUGUAUUUCACUCAGUAAAGAAUUACAAAAUACAAAUGUUCCCAUAAUUGAUAAGUGUAGGGACUGAAGUAUAAAAGGAAAUACUCUAAUUACAAUCAAUCAAGAAAACAGAAUCAAACUGUACAAUGAAACUGAAUGGUGUCAACAUUUAUACAAGGAAACUAAAUUGUGUCAACUGUCCUCCAGUGAUUGCUGUCUUGCCAAAGAUGCUGAGUCUGAGUCUUGGACUUGAGCGUGAUCAGCAUUAAUCAAGGCUCCAACUGAGGCUGAAAUCAAGCCUCUAUCUUUGUAAUUUGAGUUUUCAAUUGAGUCUGUUCUAACAA